GAGCAGGUUCUUCAUCUUCAAAAAUGAACAGUUUGGAUGUUUUGAAUAAUUUGGGAUCUUGUGAACUGGAUGAAGAUGAUCUAAUGCUUGAUCUUGAAUUUUUAGAGGAACAGAGUCUUCACCCUUCUGUUUACCGGGAGGACUCAUAUCACUCUGUCGUCUCAUGUGCCGCAGUAGUUCUUACUCCUAUGGAACCAACGAUAGAAAUGAAGAAAAGAGAAGAACCAAAAUUUCCUGAGCCUUCCAAACAGUGAGUUUUUCAUUUAAUUUUUCAAGGCCUUGUAAAAUCAAUUAGAUAACUGAUAAGAAAAUGUGAUUUAUAAUAAAUGUGUUAAUAUUAGUAUAAAGAAAGAAGAAAUAAAUUUUGUGCGUUAAAAAUAAUCCUUCUAUAUUGUCUUAAUGAAUAACUUCUGUGUCUCCUAACUUCAUGUCUUUGAAGCAUGUGUCAUUCAAGUUUCAUUUUGUUACCUUAUCUUAAGGACAUGGGCAAGUAGACUGAUGUACUUUAUUUCCCU
rnacentral:sRNA from 1 species